GCUGUAGUGUUGAACGUUGCAGUCGGCUAAACAACGUAUAGCCGUGUGAUUGAAUGGUGUUGUUCAGUCAAAUGGCUAGCUGUUUGAUUGAACGGCUAUUUUAACCAGUUGGCUACGACAUAUACAUAAUACAGUAUGAAUUAUAGGCGAAUAUUACAUUUAAACACAACAUUCAGGAUAAAGUCGGACACGGGUUUUUAGUGAUAAUGUUUUCCUGCGACGAGUCCGUUAUAGACAUUCUAUUUUAGUUUGCUUCAUGUUUUAAUUGUGCACAUAACCUCAAAAAAGUGAUAUAAUUUGUUUUAGAAAACAUGAUCAAUUGAAAGUAUUUAUAAAAUAAAUUUAAUUAAAGAUCAAGUACACAAAAUAAAUCGAAAUAGAAAAAUAACUAGGACUUCAGGAUGUCGUUGCCAGUAUUCGUAAUUUUCUCCAUUAUGAUGGUUUAUGCAAAUGGAACAUGCCCUAUAAAUUUCAAGGACAUCACAUCUCAGCCUGCAUAUUUCGAGUCCAGAGUGACUGAUGAGGAAGCUAUUUUGUUUCUUGUUGACAUAAUGCUCGCCCCUUUUACUUAUGUAAAUGACAUUGAUAAUUUAGGUUGUGGGGGAACAUUUGCCCCAUGUGUUCUGUGCCCAAAUGGAUACAUAAAAGUUAAUGGUACUUGUGUGCCUGAAGAUGGUACGGAUUAUGAUUAACCGACAGCACUUAUUGAUUAAGUGUUAUUUUUAUAAUGUUUCAAUUUUGUUUUAUUUUCUUGAUCCUUUAUUUUUUUAUAAAUAAAGUUCUUUCUUCAA